rnacentral:rRNA from 1 species
GACGAACGCUGGCGGCGUGCUUAACACAUGCAAGUCGAACGGAAAGGCCUCUUUCGGGGGGUACUCGAGUGGCGAACGGGUGAGUAACACGUGAGUAACCUGCCCUUGACUUUGGGAUAACUUCAGGAAACUGGGGCUAAUACCGGAUAGGAGCUCCUGCUGCAUGGUGGGGGUUGGAAAGUUUCGGCGGUUGGGGAUGGACUCGCGGCUUAUCAGCUUGUUGGUGGGGUAGUGGCUUACCAAGGCUUUGACGGGUAGCCGGCCUGAGAGGGUGACCGGCCAGAUUGGGACUGAGAUACGGCCCAGACUCCUACGGGAGGCAGCAGUGGGGAAUAUUGCACAAUGGGUGGAAGCCUGAUGCAGCAACGCCGUGUGCGGGAUGACGGCCUUCGGGUUGUAAACCGCUUUCGCUCAUGACGAAGCUUUGUGUGACGGUAGUGGGUAAAGAAGCACCGGCUAACUACGUG